GAGAACCACGUUUUCCCAGGAAAACACACUUGACAAUUGAAAGAUGGAGAAGUACCCACAGGCUUCACUACUGAUCUUUUGGCUUCAACUGAGCUGGGUGAGCAGUGAAGACAAGGUGAUACAGAGCCCCUCAUCUCUGGCUGUCCAUGAGGGAGAUAGUGCAACUCUCACCUGCAAUUAUGAAGUGAGUUACUUUCAAAGCCUACAGUGGUACAAGCAGGAAAAGAACGCUCCCACAUUUCUGUUUACACUAACUUCAAGUGGGAUCGAGAAGAAGUCAGGAAGGUUAAGUAGCAUAUUAGAUAACAAAGAACUUCUCAGCACCCUGAACAUCACAGCCACGCAGACCAGAGACUCAGCCAUCUACUUCUGUGCUGUGGAGGCACAGUGCUCCCCCAGCACCUGCAGCCUGUACCCAAACGCUGCAGCUGAUGCUCUGCAACUGUAA